GGGCCGCUAGUUCAACUGGAUAGAAUACUUGAUUUCGAAUCAAGGGGUUGUAGGUUCGAAUCCUACGUGGCCCACCA
rnacentral:tRNA from 1 species